UUCAUCAUCCUCUCCAGCUUCCAGGCUUGGCCACGGGAGGCAGCUUUGUGGAUCUUCCUGAGAUCCCCAUGGUGAAUCACCUCUGAUCCUCAAUUUUAUAUACUACACCUGGUGGUGGCUCAGUGUUCACUCCGAAAAAUGAAAAAUUGCCCAUUUUUGUGAAAAAGUUCUACUGAUAUGUGAAGUGAGUUCUAUUGGAACCACCAAGUCAUGACACCAGAAGGGAAAAGAAGUAGUUCAUCAUGAGGUGGAAAUAGUUCUCUCUCUGUGGUCCAAGCUGGAGUGCAGUGGCGGGAUCUCGGCUCACUUCAACCUCUACCUCCCGAGUUCAAGCAAAUCUCCUGCCUCAGCCUCAUGAGUAGCUGGGAUUACAGGCAUCCACCACCAGAGACGGCUAAUUUUUUCUUUGUAUACUUUUAUUUAAUUCGGCUUAGGUUACUUGUUUAUUAGUAGUAGUUUUGCAUCUAUGGGAUUGUUGUAUAAAAUAAAUGGUUUAAAUAUGUAGAA
rnacentral:lncRNA from 1 species